GUGCCAGCAGCCGCGGUAAUACGAAGGGGGCUAGCGUUGCUCGGAAUCACUGGGCGUAAAGCGCACGUAGGCGGCUUUCUAAGUCAGGGGUGAAAUCCUGGAGCUCAACUCCAGAACUGCCUUUGAUACUGGGAAGCUCGAGUCCGGAAGAGGUGAGUGGAACUGCGAGUGUAGAGGUGAAAUUCGUAGAUAUUCGCAAGAACACCAGUGGCGAAGGCGGCUCACUGGUCCGGUACUGACGCUGAGGUGCGAAAGCGUGGGGAGCAAACAGGAUUAGAUACCCUAGUAGUCC
rnacentral:rRNA from 1 species